rnacentral:lncRNA from 1 species
AUUGAAUCCGCAACUUAUGAAAUAACAACUGAAUGUAAUCAAAUCAUAUUGCAAGCAUGUACAUGGUUUCGAAUCACCCCCCAACUAAGGGGGGUUUAGUUCCUCAUACUCACAAAGCAAAGAUACAUAAAAUUAGACAUUAAAAUCAAAGGAAAGAAAACACCUAAAAUGCUUCAACUUGGUAGCAAGUGCAUCCAAGAUUCCUCUUUUUCCCCUUGCUUGCGGCAUGAAGCUUGUGGACAGAUUUUUGGGUGGAUUUAUGGUGUAGAAUGGAUGGGGAAUUUUGUGGAAGGGUUUAGGGUGAGAGUGGAAGAGUGUUUGAUGGUUGGGGAGUGGUAGAGAACUAGGCAAAGAGGGUGGAAGAAGGUGGAGUGGCUGUUAUGUUUUCUAGGCACUAGAAUGGUGUUUUUGGGGUGUUUUGCUUCCUAGGGUGUGUAUGGACGAAUUUCUGUGAUAAAA